ACAAGAUUUGGAUGGGACGAAGGUAUUUCUGACGAGCAGGGCAUCGGAGUUGAACGUCUAUGUGGGAAGCGAUGCCACAACAGUAGCAGCUGGAUCUGUACAAAACAGAAAAGCUAAAUUUACUCUCGAGAAACAGCCAGAGGGAAUAAAUAUAUACACUUUGAGAAACGAGAGAUAUAGAAGGCAAUUUUUGACAAUCACUACAGAAAAGCAACUAGAAGCGAAUCGUAAAAGUGACAACAUUAACUUUUGUGUGACUGAGACAAACGAAAGUUACUACAGAUUUGAGUCUGUUUCCUUUCCAAGGUCCUUCAUAGGUGUCAACAUUAAAGGG